rnacentral:lncRNA from 1 species
CUGUAAGGUCCCCUUUUAUUUUCUUUAAAGGUACACUUUUGCAUCAGUCUGGGAGGAUCUACAUCCAAGCAUUUGCAGCGAUUAUCUCUGGAUGCUGCAAUGACAAUUUUUGUUUCCUUGUUUUCGUAUUUUCUACAUUAAGCAGCCACUGAUUUUCCUUCCAGAUAAAAUUUAUAAACCAUAACAUGCACGAUUUUACAGGGUACAAUUCAGUGCUUUUUAAAAUAUUCACAAAGUUGUAUGACCAUCAUCACUAACUCCAAAGAAUGUCCAUCCGUCCAAAAAGAAACUCUGGACCCAGCAGCAGUCACUCCCUCCCCCCACCCCACCCUCCACCCACCAUUUCUGCCCUCCCUCCCAGCCCCAAGCAAGCACUGAUUACCCUUUGUCUGUACAGAUUUGUUUAUUCUGGAUGUUUCCAAUGAAUGGAAUCAUGCAGCAGGUAGCCUUUUGUGACUGGUUUCUUUGCAUUAGCAUCAUGUUUUCAAGCUUUAUCCAUGUCGUAGCCCAUGUCAGUCCCUCAUAGUUGCUUGUUACCAAAUAAAAUUCCAUGGCAUGGCUGUUCCGCAUUUGGUUUAUCCAUUUCUUAGUAGAUAGACACUUGAGCUGUAUCUUUCCACCUUUUGGCUGUGGUGAAUAAUCCUGCAGUGAAUGUUUAUGAACACGUUUUUGAAUGGAUGCGUAUUUUGUACGGACACAUAUAUACCUAGGAAUGGAACUGCUGGGCCAGAUCUACGUGGGCCACAUCUCUUUACAACUUUUGAGGAGCCACCAAAGAGUUUUCCAAAAGGUCUGCACCCUUUUACAUGCCCACCAGCAACGUGGGAGGGUUCUGGUUUCUCCCCGGGCUCCCUAAUACCUAUUAACUUGGUAACAUUAUUCUUUUUCUGUAUUUUUAGGGCCACGCGUGCUAAGGGAUGGAACCCAUGCCACAGAAGUGACAAUACCAAAUCCUUUAACUGCUAGGCCAUCAGAGAACUCCAAGACUUUUUUUCUCUCUACAUAUUGAAUCCUUUUUUGUGAUUUUUCCUCAGAUGAAGGAUAAAGCAUACAAAGAUUCUCUAUAAUAAUAAUAAUAACAACAACAAUAAUAAAUAAGCUGGCAUUUCUUGGCUUCUCAUUUGGCCUCUGGGAGGGUUAAUGUAGAACCUCCGUGCAUGCAUUAGCCCACUGAAUAUUUACAGAAAACCCUGAGUUUGGAACCCAUCCUAGGGAUGAGGAUAGUGAAGUUCAGAGGUGACUUGAGCAUCCAUCACGCCACUGCCCCAAAGCCCAAAUUCUUAACCAUCCAUCGUGACAUCUAAAAUCCGGCCUCUCCCUUCCGCUGAGCGUUUCUGGCUAUUCAUUUACAUAUUUUCCCGGGGUGGGGGGGGGCAGAUCUUUCUUGAGAUGAUUUUUCACAAGUAAGUCAGGUACAAUCUAUCAAACUCGGAAUGCUAACAAAUUCUGCAGAUGCAAAGAAUCUCCUAUAGCGUCUGUAUAAAUAAGCUGAUGCAGGGGUGUAAACGUUAAUUCAAUGCUCUUUUAAAAAAUGAACAACCUUGUUUUUCUGAGUUGAUGUGAU